UUCGGGUCUAGUGGCGCACGGGUGCGUAACGCGUGGGAAUCUGCCCUUGGGUUCGGAACAACAGUUGGAAACGACUGCUAAUACCGGAUGAUGACUUCGGUCCAAAGAUUUAUCGCCCAAGGAUGAGCCCGCGUAGGAUUAGCUUGUUGGUGAGGUAAAAGCUCACCAAGGCGACGAUCCUUAGCUGGUCUGAGAGGAUGAUCAGCCACACUGGGACUGAGACACGGCCCAGACUCCUACGGGAGGCAGCAGUGGGGAAUAUUGGACAAUGGGCGAAAGCCUGAUCCAGCAAUGCCGCGUGAGUGAUGAAGGCCUUAGGGUUGUAAAGCUCUUUUACCCGGGAUGAUAAUGACAGUACCGGGAGAAUAAGCCCCGGCUAACUCCGUGCCAGCAGCCGCGGUAAUACGGAGGGGGCUAGCGUUGUUCGGAAUUACUGGGCGUAAAGCGCACGUAGGCGGCUUUGUAAGUUAGAGGUGAAAGCCCGGAGCUCAACUCCGGAAUUGCCUUUAAGACUGCAUCGCUCGAAUCAUGGAGAGGUGAGUGGAAUUCCGAGUGUAGAGGUGAAAUUCGUAGAUAUUCGGAAGAACACCAGUGGCGAAGGCGACUCACUGGACAUGUAUUGACGCUGAGGUGC
rnacentral:rRNA from 1 species